GGAGGGAGUUCCUGUCGCGUGGCCGCGCUACUUUGGUAUCCCGCGCGUUCUCUCGCCAUGUCUCGAAAUCGCCAAGCAUCCUGCGUCUUCCUCCGCUGUCUGCCUUGUUUCGGCCGCUGCCUGGCGCCAGAGUGUCGGGGCCUCGCAGCUGUGCGCUUCUGCAGACAUGAAAGUUCUCUCGUGGAUGUUCUUUGCUGGUUCUGCAGCAGCCAGCGCCCCCUUCUCUCUGCAGUCCUUGUUGCAGUGCCCAGGCCGAGGAUGUCCUCGGGUUGCCCAGAUUCUGCUAGAGAAACAACGCACUCAAGAACAUUGCAGCCUCAACAUCCUUUUAAAUAUAACCUUUACUAACAGUUGGCACAAGAGAUAAUAAAUAUGGCAUCACUGCUUUAGAUCAAGAUCUCUGGUCCCUUUCCUAGAGGGUGUCUAUAUGUAGAGGAGUUGCCCAGAACAGAAUCCAAUGCUGUGAGAGGUGUCUCAAGGUUACAGAACAGCAGUCCUGCUCAUGGGAAGGAACAAUGUUGAGAAGAAAUCACAGUACAUGCAGUGAACAGCACAGAAUGAGUGUGAUAUUGGCAAAUACAGCGUUUCCAAGAUGUUUCCAAAGAGCACCUUCCUGAAGGUGGUGUGCACAGGAUUGUCUGCUGACCUCUGUCCUGUGCCCAGCAACCUCCUGCCAUUAAGAAGAAGCUGGACUAGGAUGCUCCUAAGGUCUCACACCCGUAGAUGCAGAGACUGUUGAAGGGCAUUCCCAGGCCAGGGAGUCCGUGGCCCUUGGGAUGGCUUGGGAUCAGAGUGUGCUGAUUUCUCACCAUGAUCUCGGUGCUGUUCGUGGACACAGGGGCAGAGAAUCGAGAGUGGUGUCAUCCCACGAGGCUUCACUGCCAGCUGUGCCCUGCCAUCUGCUGAGGUCAUCGAGGAAUGAGGGCCACGGACAGGAAAGCCCAGCCCUGUUUUGUCUGUCUGUGCCUCCUGCAAUGACCUCUUUUUCUUUUUCAAAGGGUACUAGGAAUUGAACCCAGGGGUGCUCUGCCACUGAGCUGCCCUCCAGCCUCCUCCCCCCCCCCCCUUUUUUUU